UACGUAGGAGGCGAGCGUUGUCCGGAAUCACUGGGUGUAAAGCGCGUGUAGGCGGCCUGCCAAGUCUGCUGUGAAAGCGCCUGGCUUAACCGGGCGAGGUCGGUGGAAACUGGCGGGCUGGAGGACGGUAGAGGGGGGUGGAAUUCCCGGUGUAGUGGUGAAAUGCGUAGAGAUCGGGAGGAACACCAGUGGCGAAGGCGACUCUUUGGCCUGUAACUGACGCUGAGGCGCGAAAGCGUGGGGAGCAAACAGGG
rnacentral:rRNA from 1 species